rnacentral:rRNA from 1 species
UACGUAGGGACCAAGCGUUGUCCGGAAUCAUUGGGCGUAAAGAGCGUGUAGGCGGUUCGGUAAGUCGGCUGUGAAAGUCCAGGGCUCAACCCUGGGAUGCCGGUCGAUACUGCCGGACUAGAGUUCGGAAGAGGCGAGUGGAAUUCCCGGUGUAGCGGUGAAAUGCGUAGAUAUCUGGAGGAAUACCGGUGGCGAAGGCGGCAUCCUGGACCGACAUUGACGCUGAGGAGCGAAAGCUAGGGGAGCAAACGGG